CGGGCGGGAGCCGCUGCCUGGCCCUGGAGCCGGGCGGCCUCCGAUGGCCUCUGGCAGCCCUCAGCUAUUUCCUGUGGCGCGGCCUUUCCCGUCCCACGCUUUGAGGGGCGAGAUCGGGACCGCCUGGAAACAUUCCUUUGGCCUGGUGUCUCCUGAGAACCCCUGUGUUUAGUUUUUGCCGAGAACUUUGAAAACAUCGAGUUCUGAUUGCGACAUCGGAAGAUCGGGAUGUUCAAGAACUAGGCGUUGGACAUCUGUCUACUGAACCAAGAAGGUAAACAGGUUUUCUCCUCUCCAACGUGGACCACAAUAAAUGGGAGACUUUCCUUCUCUACUUAGGCAAGGAUAGAGCCUCAGUGCCACCUAUUAAGAGUCCACCACUAGCACUAAAUUUGACUUCCGUAGUUCCCAAAGCUGAAUAUCAAAGCAUUUGACCCUAGGACCUUGAGCUAAUUCUGACGAAGGAAGAAAUCUAUCGGCAGCUCUGUCUCAUCCCGGCCUCUGGUACACCCUUGCCAGGGACUGCUCGCCUGUUAUUUUCUAACAAAUCUAACACAGUCCUUACUUCAGACUAAAUUAAUACCAUGCAAUUUC